rnacentral:rRNA from 1 species
GACGAACGCUGGCGGCGUGCUUAACACAUGCAAGUCGAACGGAAAGGCCCUGCUUUUGUGGGGUGCUCGAGUGGCGAACGGGUGAGUAACACGUGAGUAACCUGCCCUUGACUUUGGGAUAACUUCAGGAAACUGGGGCUAAUACCGGAUAGGAGCUCCUGCUGCAUGGUGGGGGUUGGAAAGUUUCGGCGGUUGGGGAUGGACUCGCGGCUUAUCAGCUUGUUGGUGGGGUAGUGGCUUACCAAGGCUUUGACGGGUAGGCGGCCUGAGAGGGGGACCGGCCACAUGGCGACUGAGAUACGGCGCAGACUCCUACGGGAGGCAGCAGUGGGGAAUAUUGCACAAUGGGCGGAAGCCUGAUGCAGCAACGCCGCGUGCGGGAUGACGGCCUUCGGGUUGUAAACCGCUUUCGCCUGUGACGAAGCGUGAGUGACGGUAAUGGGUAAAGAAGCACCGGCUAACUACGUG